rnacentral:rRNA from 1 species
UACGUAGGGUGCGAGCGUUAAUCGGAAUUACUGGGCGUAAAGCGUGCGUAGGCGGUUCGUUAAGUUCGUUGUGAAAGCCCCGGGCUCAACCUGGGAAUUGCAUUCGAGACUGCAUUGCUGGAGUACGGAAGAGGAGGGCGGAAUUCCCGGUGUAGCGGUGAAAUGCGUAGAUAUCGGGAGGAACAUCAGUGGCGAAGGCGGCCCUCUGGUCCAGUACUGACACUCAAGUGCGAAAGCGUGGGGAGCAAACAGG